UGUGUCUUGCGUGCGCUCCCAGGUUUUUCGAUGUUCCUGGCGGCUUUAUGCUUGUGCUCAAGCCAACUUCGAUUGGAAUCAUCAGCGGAAGUCACCAGGAUCACCUGGAUACCAAAAUUGCGGCAAGUGGACCCAAUUUUCGGCUAUUUUUCUACUCUGACGCGUCGUCCCGGCAGCUGCGUUCGACCUAGCGUCGACUCCGACCACUGCCCGCCGGCCAAGCGUCGGUGCGUCGCGCUGCCGACCCCUGGGGCUUAGCACGGCUGCAUAUUUUCGGCGAAAAUGGAGGUUGUUGUUCAAGGGGAGGAUAUUUCUCCUGAAGAAUUUUCCGAGAAGGUCGGUUGGUUCACGAUCAACACAAGCCGGCAACGCGGCAGCCAAGAUGGCGGCCGCGAAGGAGGAAGCCAAGGUGUCGGCUCGGAUCGAAGAGAGAGACAAGAUGGCGGCCACGGCCACGUGAGCACCAAAUCAAUCAAGAUGACGGGGAGGAAAUUGGCGCUGCGCUCCGUGGCGUCACAGCAACCACGCGUACCUACUGGCCUGCAUAAGGUGAUAAUCCGACCGAGCGGAGGAUUGAAAACUCUAUCUUUGGGUGGAGACGUGAAGAUAUAUGAGAUUGUUCGAGCCGCUGCGGGCGUGAAUUUGAAGGAGGCUAAGGAAGACAUUAUUGAACUUAACACCAAGCAAAACACCGUUUUGGUGGGCACCAUGAGUGAAGAAAGAAUGCAUCGGUACCUGAAGAUAAAAAUACUUCAGGUUGAGCAGGCAAAAUACGAAGUAAACGCCUACCUGUGAGCCCCCGAUGGCAGUGGCAAAGGAGUUAUUCAUGGGAUCCCGGUGGAACACACGGAAGCACAGAUUCUGGACAACCUGGAUUGUUCAAGGAACCCCAAAAUCAGAGGGGUCAGAAGAAUGGGGAAGACAUCGACCUCAGUUCUGAUACUCUUCGUAAACGAUAAUGUGCCGUUUUGGAUUUAUUAUGGAGGCGGGCUCCUCAAGUGCUUCCUCUACAAAAAGAAGUUUGAGGUGUGCAACGCAUGCGGACAUCUUGGGCACCGCUCUGAUGUGUGUCCGGACCGGGACGACGUCAAGUGCCGCGGCUGCGGUACGGUGAAGCCACCGGAUGGACACGUGUGCGAUCCCAAAUGUGCUCUUUUUGGAAAGGGACAUGAACUGGGCAACAAGAAGUGUCGCGAGAUCUACCGAACUCCGUACAUCGUCAGGAAACGCCGGUGGGAGCGGAAGCUCCAAGAAGAGGAGGCGAAGAAAACACCCUCGUCUGGGCGAAAAAGCCGAUCAAGAAGCCGGGAGGGCUUCCGGAGCCGCUCCGGCUCCUUCCCUCGCCUCGAUCACCCGGGCCGUUCCAGCUCCAGGGGCUGCUCCAGCUCCAGGGAUCGUUCCGGCUCCGGGGUCCACUCCGGCUCCAGGGCAAGAUCGUCGUCAAGGCCGAGGAAUGAAGCCAACAAGCAAAGGGAGAACAGAAGUGCGCAUACUUCUACUACUCCUCCGGUCAGCAGUACAACGAUUACAUAAGCCCGUCCGCAGGCGUUCCUGCUGUGGUCCGCGCCCCGCUGGGUUUCUGGCAACACCCCCAGAUGACGCUCGCCUGCUGGUCUCGCGCCCUGGUAUUGCAGGCAUAGGCAGCGGUAGAAGGUAAAUAGAGAAGAUUAAAGAGGAGAAUACAAGAAUGCUAGCAGUGAAAAAAAACAUUGAUAGCGUACUGUCGCCCAAAUAUUUAACUGGUGUGCGGGAGCGACGACUUUUCCGUGCGUCAGCGCCGUUUGACGGGGCGAGGCUG